CCGCCUGGGGAGUACGGCCGCAAGGCUGAAACUCAAAGGAAUUGACGGGGGCCCGCACAAGCGGUGGAGCAUGUGGUUUAAUUCGACGCAACGCGCAGAACCUUACCUAGGCUUGACAUGCACGGGAAAGCUGGUGGAAACAUCGGCCCCUCUUCGGAGCCCGUGCACAGGUGCUGCAUGGCUGUCGUCAGCUCGUGUCGUGAGAUGUUGGGUUAAGUCCCGCAACGAGCGCAACCCUCGCCCUUAGUUGCCAUCAUUUAGUUGGGCACUCUAAGGGGACUGCCGGUGAUAAGCCGGAGGAAGGUGGGGAUGACGUCAAGUCCUCAUGGCCCUUACGGGCUGGGCUACACACGUGCUACAAUGGCGGUGACAGAGGGAUGCAAAGGGGCGACCCUUCGCAAAUCUCAAAAAGCCGUCUCAGUUCGGAUUGGGGUCUGCAACUCGACCCCAUGAAGUUGGAAUCGCUAGUAAUCGCAGAUCAGCACGCUGCGGUGAAUACGUUCCCGGGCCUUGUACACACCGCCCGUCACACCAUGGGAGUUGGCUUUACCUGAAG
rnacentral:rRNA from 1 species